GUACGCUUGCGCGGCUCCAAGGGGAGGGGGCCGCUAGAGGUGAACUCCAAGGAAUCAUCCAGGUCCGGUCUGCGGGUGCUCGCCUUAAUACUGCUCUCUGAGCGUCAGCUACUUGUGUUCUGGGCACUGAGCUAGACCCUCACGUACAAUAUUUCAGUUAACCCUUAAUCCUGAGAGAUAACCUAUGAGUGGAAUUCCCGAGUCAUAUGCUAAGAUGAUGUUGAACUUAUUAAGACACUGCCAAGCUGUUUUUCCAAAGUGACUUCAUCAAUUUACAUUCCCACAAGCAAUGCAGGAGAGCUCCACUUUUUCCACAUCCUCUCCAACACUUGUUAUUGUCUUUUUUUAUUAUAACUAUUCUUAUGGGUGUGCAUCAUGGUUUUACUUUGCAUUUCCCUAAUGAUUAGCGAUGAACAUCUUUUCAUGUACCUGUUUUCUGUUUGUAUAGCCUCUUUGAUGAAAUGUCUACCCAAAUCUUUAGCCCCAUUUUAAAAUAAAGCUCUUUUUGAGAUACUUGUAGAUUCAUGUGUAGAUGUAAAAAAUAAUACAGAGAGAUCCUGUUUACACUUUACUUACUAUCCCCCAAUAGCAACAUCUUGCAUAACUAUUAUUAUGCAGAUUUAACAACCACAAAAUUGACAUUGAUACAAUCCGUCUGUUUUAUUCAGAUUUUCCAUCAUAGAUAUACUCAUUUGUGUCUCUGUGUGUCCAUUUAGUUCUGUGCAAUUUUAUCAGAGGUAUAGGUUCUUAUGACCAUCACUACAGUCAAGAUACAGAAUAAUUACAUCACCAUAAAGAUCUCUCCUGUUAUAUUUUCAUGAUACUUCUUAUACUACUCCUUACAUUAUGUAAACUGUGUCAUACUAUAUGUAAUUUUGGGGGCUUAGAUUUUUUUCUCUCAACAUACUUAUACCGAGAAUCACCCAGGUUAUUGUGUGUAUCAGUGGUUAUUUGUAUUGCUGUGUAAUACUCCACAGUAUAGAUUUACCAGUUUGUUUAGCUAUUCACCCACUGAAAGGCAUGUGGUGUUCUCACGUUUCAGAUGUUAUGAAUAAACUGCUAUUAAAAAAAUUGUGUACAGCUUUUUUGUCCUUUA